rnacentral:rRNA from 1 species
UACGUAGGGUGCAAGCGUUAAUCGGAAUACUGGGCGUAAAGCGUGCGCAGGCGGUUUUGUAAGUCUGUUGUGAAAUCCCCCGGGCUCAACCUGGGAAUGGCAAUGGAGACUGCAAGGCUAGAGUUUGGCAGAGGGGGGUAGAAUUCCACGUGUAGCAGUGAAAUGCGUAGAUAUGUGGAGGAACACCGAUGGCGAAGGCAGCCCCUGGGUCAAAACUGACGCUCAUGCACGAAAGCGUGGGGAGCAAACAGG